UAAGCAUAUCAAUAAGCGGAGGAAAAGAAACCAACAGGGAUUGCCCUAGUAACGGCGCAGUGAAGCGGCAAUAGCUCAGAUUUGAAAUCUGGUCCUUUCAGGGCCCGAGUUGUAAUCUGUAGAGGAUGCUUCGGCGUCAGCCUCGGCCUAAGUUCCUUGGAACAGGACGUCACAGAGGGUGAGAAUCCCGUAUGUGGUCGGCUGCUUUCGCCUUGUGAAGCUCCUUCAACGAGUCGAGUUGUUUGGGAAUGCAGCUCUAAACGGGAGGUAAAUUUCUUCUAAAGCUAAAUAUUGGCCAGAGACCGAUAGCGCACAAGUAGAGUGAUCGAAAGAUGAAAAGCACUUUGGAAAGAGAGUUAAAAAGCACGUGAAAUUGUUGAAAGGGAAGCGCUUGCAAUCAGACUUGCUCAUGAUGGCUUAUCCAAGCUAUAACGGCUUGGUGCACUCCUUCAUGGUCAGGCCAGCAUCAGUUCGGGCGGCCGGAUAAAGGGUCUGGGAAUGUGGCUCCCCUCGGGGAGUGUUAUAGCCCAGAUUGUAAUGCGGUCAGCCUGGACUGAGGUCCGCGCUUCGGCUAGGAUGCUGGCGUAAUGGUUGUAAGCGGCCCGUCUUGAAACACGGACCAAGGAGUCUAACAUCUAUGCGAGUGUUUGGGUGUUAAACCCAUACGCGCUAAUGAAAGUGAACGGAGGUGGGAACCCGCAAGGGCGCACCAUCGACCGAUCCUGAUGUCUUCGGAUGGAUUUGAGUAAGAGCAUAGCUGUUGGGACCCGAAAGAUGGUGAACUAUGCGUGGGUAGGGUGAAGCCAGAGGAAACUCUGGUGGAGGCUCGCAGCGGUUCUGACGUGCAAAUCGAUCGUCAAACCUGCGCAUAGGGGCGAAAGACUAAUCGAACCAUCUAGUAGCUGGUUCCUGCCGAAGUUUCCCUCAGGAUAGCAGUAACGUUUUCAGUUUUAUGAGGUAAAGCGAAUGAUUAGAGGCCUGGGGGUUGAAACAACCUUCACCUAUUCUCAAACUUUAAAUAUGUAAGAAGUCCUUGUUACUUAGUUGAACGUGGACAUUUGAAUGUAUCGUUACUAGUGGGCCAUUUUUGGUAAGCAGAACUGGCGAUGCGGGAUGAACCGAACGCGAUGUUAAGGUGCCGGAAUGCACGCUCAUCAGACACCCACAAAAGGUGUUAGUUCCAUCUAGACAGCAGGACGGUGGGCCAUGGAAGUCGGAAUCCGCUAAGGAGUGUGUAACAACUCACCUGCCGAAUGAACUAGCCCUGAAAAUGGAUGGCCGCUCAAGCGUGCUACCAAUACAUCGCCGCCCGGGUAAAAACCAUGCCCUGGCGAGUAAGCAGGCGUGGAGGUCCAGUGACCAANCCNUGGGGGUGACCCCNGGUAGAACGGCCUCUAGUGCAGNUGGGGGGGGG
rnacentral:rRNA from 1 species